rnacentral:lncRNA from 1 species
AUACACUACAAUUAUAAGUACCAAUUAUGAAUUUAAAUAUACAAUACUUUCAUUACAGUCUGAACCAAUGAGCAUAUUAUGUAAUAAUGAAAAGACAAAUGUCAUCAAUUAUUGAAAUUGAAUUUUUUGAAAAGUCAAUUAAUUUAGAGUUAUCUCCCCUUGACUAUAAAUUUGUUAAUAAUAGUGUAACAUCUCAACUUUUGGGAGCAGAUACCGCCAUGACGUAUGAAGCUCUUAUGGAGCUGAAAACGCUGCCCUAAAGUAAACCUGCAUCAUCUUUUAUCCUGCAUAUGAAAAUGAAAAAACUUACGACUCUAUAUACAGACAUUGUGUCC